GGGCUUCCUUCAGCAGUACAUUUACUAGCAUUGGAAAGAUACAGUGAAGGUCAGCAUGGUGCCUACACAAGGAGGACAAGCAAAUUCACAAAUCACAUUUUU
rnacentral:snRNA from 1 species